AGGACGAACGCUGGCGGCGCGCUUAACACAUGCAAGUCGAGCGAGAACCUGGCCUUCGGGCCUGGGGAAAGCGGCGAACGGGUGAGUAACACGUGGGUAACCCACCCUUGGUACCGGGAUAGCCCGAGGAAACUCGGAUUAAUACCGGAUGGCCCAACAGCUCUUCGGGGCGGUUGGAAAAGGUAGCUUCGGCCUCCGACCAAGGACGGGCCCGCGGCGGAUUAGCUUGUUGGUGAGGUAACGGCUCACCAAGGCGACGAUCCGUAGCUGGUCUGAGAGGACGAUCAGCCACACUGGGACUGAGACACGGCCCAGACUCCUACGGGAGGCAGCAGUGGGGAAUCUUGCGCAAUGGGCGAAAGCCUGACGCAGCGACGCCGCGUGGGGGAAGAAGGCUUUCGGGUUGUAAACCCCUUUCAGGAAGGACGAAGCCACUCGGGUGAAUAGCCCAGAGGGUGACGGUACUUCCAGAAGAAGCCCCGGCUAACUACGUGCCAGCAGCCGC
rnacentral:rRNA from 1 species